UGCCUAAUACAUGCAAGUAGGACGCACAGUUUAUACCGUAGCUUGCUACACCAUAGACUGUGAGUUGCGAACGGGUGAGUAACGCGUAGGUAACCUGCCUAUUAGAGGGGGAUAACUAUUGGAAACGAUAGCUAAUACCGCAUAACAGUAUGUAACACAUGUUAGAUGCUUGAAAGAUGCAAUUGCAUCGCUAGUAGAUGGACCUGCGUUGUAUUAGCUAGUAGGUAGGGUAAAGGCCUACCUAGGCAACGAUACAUAGCCGACCUGAGAGGGUGAUCGGCCACACUGGGACUGAGACACGGCCCAGACUCCUACGGGAGGCAGCAGUAGGGAAUCUUCGGCAAUGGGGGGAACCCUGACCGAGCAACGCCGCGUGAGUGAAGAAGGUUUUCGGAUCGUAAAGCUCUGUUGUUAAGGAAGAACGAGUGUGAGAAUGGAAAGUUCAUACUGUGACGGUACUUAACCAGAAAGGGACGGCUAACUACGUGCCAGCAGCCGCGGUAAUACGUAGGUCCCGAGCGUUGUCCGGAUUUAUUGGGCGUAAAGCGAGCGCAGGCGGUUAGAAAAGUCUGAAGUGAAAGGCAGUGGCUCAACCAUUGUAGGCUUUGGAAACUGUUUAACUUGAGUGCAGAAGGGGAGAGUGGAAUUCCAUGUGUAGCGGUGAAAUGCGUAGAUAUAUGGAGGAACACCGGUGGCGAAAGCGGCUCUCUGGUCUGUAACUGACGCUGAGGCUCGAAAGCGUGGGGAGCGAACAGGAUUAGAUACCCUGGUAGUCCACGCCGUAAACGAUGAGUGCUAGGUGUUAGGUCCUUUCCGGGACUUAGUGCCGUAGC
rnacentral:rRNA from 1 species